UACGUAGGGUGCAAGCGUUGUCCGGAAUUAUUGGGCGUAAAGAGCUCGUAGGCGGUCUGUCGCGUCGGAUGUGAAAAUCCAGGGCUCAACCCUGGACCUGCAUUCGAUACGGGCAGACUAGAGUUCGGCAGGGGAGACUGGAAUUCCUGGUGUAGCGGUGAAAUGCGCAGAUAUCAGGAGGAACACCGGUGGCGAAGGCGGGUCGCUAGUACGGUACUGACGCUGAGACGCGAAAGCGUGGGGAGCGAACAGG
rnacentral:rRNA from 1 species